GGACAGGGGGACAGCGACGACUCCGCCCCCGAGCCUGACCCCGCCCCCCUGCCGAGGCCCCGCCCCCUGCAGCCGCUGCUGCAGCUGCGCGCGCGCAGGAGGCAGCAACAGGAUUGGGGCCCCCCCGGAGCUUUGGGCCCCCCCAGAACGGGUGGGGGAGGGGCCGGGCCGGCGACGGGGGAGGGGCGGGGACGCGGCUGCGCGUGGACUUCAAGGAGGACUCGGCCCUGGACAAC